rnacentral:rRNA from 1 species
UGGGGAAUUUUGGACAAUGGGCGAAAGCCUGAUCCAGCAAUGCCGCGUGUGUGAAGAAGGCCUUCGGGUUGUAAAGCACUUUUGUCCGGAAAGAAAUCCUUGGCUCUAAUACAGUCGGGGGAUGACGGUACCGGAAGAAUAAGCACCGGCUAACUACGUGCCAGCAGCCGCGGUAAUACGUAGGGUGCAAGCNUUAAUCGGAAUUACUGGGCGUAAAGCGUGCGCAGGCGGUUCGCUAAGACCGAUGUGAAAUCCCCGGGCUCAACCUGGGAACUGCAUUGGUACUGGCAGGCUAGAGUAUGGCAGAGGGGGGUAGAAUUCCACUGUAGCAGUGAAAUGCGUAGAGAUGUGGAGGAAUACCGAUGGCGAAGGCAGCCCCCUGGGCCAAUACUGACGCUCAUGCACGAAAGCGUGGGGAGCAAACAGGAUUAGAUACCCUGGUAGUCCACGCCCUAAACGAUGUCAACUAGUUGUUGGGGAUUCAUUUCCUUAGUAACGUACUAACGCGUGAAGUUGACCGCCUGGGGAGUACGGUCGCAAGAUUAAAACUCAAAGGAAUUGACGGGGUCAUAGCUGUUUCCU